rnacentral:misc_RNA from 1 species
GAUGAAGAACGUAGCGAAAUGCGAUAAGUAAUGUGAAUUGCAGAAUUCAGUGAAUCAUCGAAUCUUUGAACGCACCUUGCGCUCCUUGGUAUUCCAAGGAGCAUGCCUGUUUGAGUAUCAUUAAAUUAUCAACUGUGCCAAUUUGGUUACAGAUUGGAUGUGGGAGAUUCUUUUUGCAGGCCUUUGACUUCUCUUUGAGAAAAAAAAUAAAAGGUCGGCUCUCCUGAAAUGUAUUAGCAGUGCCUUUGUUGGUUCAUUAGGUGUGAUAAAUUGUCUACAUCUUCGCAUGAUACCUUCAUUUGUAAAGGUCAUAUUGCUUCUAAAUUGUCUUUGAUUGGACGCAAAACAUAUAUAAUGUUUGACAAACUUGAUCUCAAAUCAGGCAGGACUACCCGCUGAACUUAAGCAUAUCAAUAAGCGGAGA